rnacentral:tRNA from 1 species
GCGGGUAUAGUACAAUGGUAGUACACUAGUUUUCCAAACUAGACACAGGGGUCCGAUUCCCCUUACCCGCU